GGUUGUAGCUUGGAGGUAGAGCACUUGCCUCAAACUCAUAAGGCCCUGGGUUCUAUUCUCAGCACCA
rnacentral:tRNA from 1 species